rnacentral:rRNA from 1 species
GAUGAACGCUGGCGGCGUGCCUAAUACAUGCAAGUCGAGCGAACAGACGAGGAGCUUGCUCCUCUGACGUUAGCGGCGGACGGGUGAGUAACACGUGGAUACCCUACCUAUAAUACUGGGAUCACUUCGGGAAACCGGAUCUAACACCGGAUAAGAUAUUGAACCGCAUGGUUCAAUAGUGAAAGACGGUGUUGCUGUCACGUAUAGAUGCUUCCGGGCCGCAUUAGCUAGUUGGGACGGUAACGGCUUACCAAGGCAACGAUGCGUAGCCGACCUCAGAGGGUGGUAGGCCACCCUGGAACUGAGACACGGUCCAGACUCCUACGGGAGGCAGCAGUAGGGAAUCUUACGCAAUGGGCGAGAGCUUGACAGAGCAACGCCGCGUGAGUGAUGAAGGUGUUCGGAUCGUAAAGCUCUGUUAUUAGGGGAGAACAAAUGUGUACGUAACUAUGCAGGUCUUGACGGUACCGGGUCAGAAAGCCACGGCUAACUACGUG